rnacentral:misc_RNA from 1 species
GAAAUGCGAUAAGUAGUGUGAAUUGCAGAAUUCAGUGAAUCAUCGAAUCUUUGAACGCACAUUGCGCCCUUUGGUAUUCCUUAGGGCAUGCCUGUUCGAGCGUCAUCUAAACCCUCAAGCCCUGCUUGGUGUUGGGUGCCUGUCCCGCCCCCGUGCGUGGACUCACCUCAAAUCCAUUGGCGGCCCUCGUGCCGACCCCGAGCGCAGCAGAAACGCGGUCUCGUGGCCCGGCGGAGCGUGCCCCCAGAAGCAACAUUCACCGUUUUGACCUCGGAUCAGGUAGGGAUACCCGCUGAACUUAAGC